rnacentral:rRNA from 1 species
UACGGAGGGUGCGAGCGUUGCUCGGAAUCACUGGGCGUAAAGCGCACGUAGGCGGCUUUUUAAGUCAGGGGUGAAAUCCUGGAGCUCAACUCCAGAACUGCCUUUGAUACUGAGAAGCUUGAGUCCGGGAGAGGUGAGUGGAACUGCGAGUGUAGAGGUGAAAUUCGUAGAUAUUCGCAAGAACACCAGUGGCGAAGGCGGCUCACUGGCCCGGUACUGACGCUGAGGUGCGAAAGCGUGGGGAGCAAACAGGG